AAUAAUAGCGGCGACCUGAUGUGGCUGCCCAAUAUGGGAAAAACACCUUCACCUAAUACCAGUCCAGGUUGGGCGCUUGAUGGACAGAUUACCUCUACAUGGAAGGGAGCAGACCAGAAAAGACUUAAAGCAAUUCUGAGAGGGCCCAAAUGCUUGCGUGAAUGCUUUUGUAUUCGUUCCGCUUGCCACAUGAUGGUCGAUCCAAAAACAACCAUUGGGCUUGCGAACGGUGAAACUGUGAAUUUCAACGGAUUUCUCAUAUGGGAUGGCAGAAAAUGAUUGAAACGGUGGAUAUGCCAAGAGAAUCUAUGAUUGAAAUUGUUGCAACAGAGGGAACAACAUUUCGAGGGCAUAAAAUCAGAGCAACACCCGGAAUGUGAAUUGAGGAUAUGUAAAGACAACACUUACUAACAUUGAAUCAACGUCGUUUAAUUUGUGAUCAAGCCACGCCACAUGUUAAUAAAUUUUACGAACCAUGAACCGACACAACUAUGUUACGUAACGCAGUUACCAGUGUUUCAACUAUAUUUUAUUUGAUAUCAGCAAUAUUUUAAAUGACAAGUUCUGAAUGCUUUGACCUAAAUACUAGAAUCUUCCAUAAUAUGAGUAUUUCAAACUAUAUCUAAUUUGAUUCUUCAUUUGCAUGAACUUAGACGUUAGAAUGCAAACUUGUCUUCAUUUGAGCGCUGAAUCCAUAUUAGUUUUAGGAAGCAAUCAUGAGAUUUAGGAAGCAAUGAUGCCUGAAAAAGAUUAUUUUUUGAAUUUAUGUUCAAUGAAACCAUGGUUAAGUAUAGUUUUGGGUUUCUCACAAUCUACAAAAACGACAUAUUAUGUCCACGUUGUUAUUGCACCGACUAUUUCGCGUCACAUUUAUCUCGAAUGCUUGUGUAUGUAUAAGUUUCUUAAGUCGUGAAAUAGUCCUGAUAAAAUAGGUUCUUUGUUUAUUUCUAAAUAUAUUUUGGUCAAAAUCA